CCGUCCCCCAGUACUACUGCAUAUAAGGUAUAACUUUACACCGUCCCCCAGUACUACUGCAUAUAAGGUAUAACUUUAGACCGCCCACCAGUACUACUGUAUAUAAGGUAUAACUUCAGAACGCCCUCCAGUACUACUGCAUAUAAGGUAUAACUUUAGACCGACCCCGUACUACUGCAUAUAAGGUAUAACUUUACACCGUCCCCCAGUACUACUGCAUAUAAGGUAUAACUUCAGACCGUCCCCCAGUACUACUGCAUAUAAGGUAUAACUUCAGACCGUCCCCCAGUACUACUGCAUAUAAGGUAUAACUUUAGACCGUCCCCCAGUACUACUGCAUAUAAGGUAUAACUUCAGACCGUCCCCCAGUACUACUGCAUAUAAGGUAUAACUUUAGACCGUCCCCCAGUACUACUGCAUAUAAGGUAUAACUUUACACCGUCCCCCAGUACUACUGCAUAUAAGGUAUAACUUUAGACCGCCCACCAGUACUACUGCAUAUAAGGUAUAACUUCAGAACGCCCUCCAGUACUACUGCAUAUAAGGUAUAACUUUAGACCGUCCCCCAGUACUACUGCAUAUAAGGUAUAACUUCAGACCGCCCCCAGUACUACUGCAUAUAAGGUAUAACUUUAGACCGUCCCCCAGUACUACUGCAUAUAAGGUAUAACUUCAGACCGUCCCCCAGUACUACUGCAUAUAAGGUAUAACUUCAGACCGUCCCCCAGUACUACUGCAUAUAAGGUAUAACUUCAGACCGUCCCCCAGUACUACUGCAUAUAAGGUAUAACUUUAGA